AUUGAACGCUGGCGGUAUGCUUAACACAUGCAAGUCGAACGGUAACAGGCCUUCGGGCGCUGACGAGUGGCGGACGGGUGAGUAACGCGUAGGAAUCUGCCUCAUAGUGGGGGACAACGUGGGGAAACUCACGCUAAUACCGCAUACGCCCUACGGGGAAAGCGGGGGAUCUUCGGACCUCGCGCUAUGAGAUGAGCCUGCGUUAGAUUAGCUAGUUGGUAGGGUAAAGGCCUACCAAGGCGACGAUCUAUAGCUGGUCUGGGAGGACGAUCAGCCACACUGGGACUGAGACACGGCCCAGACUCCUACGGGAGGCAGCAGUGGGGAAUAUUGGACAAUGGGCGCAAGCCUGAUCCAGCAAUACCGCGUGUGUGAAGAAGGCCCUAGGGUUGUAAAGCACUUUCAAUUGGGAGGAAAACCUGCCGGUCAAUACCCGGCAGCUUGACAUUACCUUUAG
rnacentral:rRNA from 1 species